UACGAGUGCCUCAAGCGUUAUCCGGAAUUAUUGGGCGUAAAGGGUGUGUAGGCGGUUUCUUUAGUCUCUUGUUAAAACCAGAAGCUCAACUUCUGAUAUGCAAGGGAAACGGAGAGACUCGAGUACGUAAGAGGUCUGUGGAACUCAUGGUGUAGGGGUGAAAUCCGUUGAUAUCAUGGGGAACACCAAAUGCGAAGGCAACAGACUGGUACGUAACUGACGCUGAGACACGAAAGCGUGGGUAGCGAAUGGG
rnacentral:rRNA from 1 species